CACGUAGGGGGCGAGCGUUGUCCGGAUUUAUUGGGCGUAAAAGAGCUCGUAGGCGGUCUGUCGCGUCGGAUGUGAAAACCCAGGGCUCAACCCUGGGCCUGCAUUCGAUACGGGCAGACUAGAGUUCGGUAGGGGAGACUGGAAUUCCUGGUGUAGCGGUGAAAUGCGCAGAUAUCAGGAGGAACACCGGUGGCGAAGGCGGGUCUCUGGGCCGAUACUGACGCUGAGGAGCGAAAAGCGUGGGGGAGCGAAACAGG
rnacentral:rRNA from 1 species